rnacentral:lncRNA from 1 species
CUUGGAGCCCAGGAAGACAGAGAAGAGCUGGGCAUGGUGGCACACACCUAUGAUCCCAGCACUCUGGAGGCUGAGGCAGGAGGAUCACUGCAAGUUGGAGGCCAGGCUGGGCUCCAGAGAUGGUGCCGAGGAAACCUGAAAACCAUCCCAGGAAGGGGGAGCCGGAGGAGGUCCCGAGGGAAGGCCUCGCUGGGUGCCGGUAACAGGGACUAUCACAGGCCACCCACAGACAAAGUCCUUCCACAGGUCACAGGAGCCACAACUGCCCAGCCCAACCCUGGGGAUCCAUCCUGUGGCCAAGGAGUACUGGUUCAAAACCACCUGUGUAACCCUGUUUCUUUUGUCUCUCUUUGCCUCCUGAGUGUACUGUAACCUGGCACAGCACACACAGCCCCACUGCUACGAAACCCCCAGUACACUCAAGACGUUCGAAGGCUGUUAUUUAGGUUGUGGCACAAGCAGGUGUUGGACCACAGUCAUCGGGCCUUUUGCUUUCUAAGAAACUCCCAAACCGACGUCCAGAGUGCCUGUGCCUUUCACCUCCCACCAGCAAAGCCCAUCCUUUUGAGUACCUGGGAGUCACCUCUGUGCUUCAGCCAGUGCUGCACGUGUAGCAAUGCCACAGUGUGCCUGCCGCGACAGGGUCCGUGACAGCUGGACGGGGACAUCCUCUCUGGAUACAGGUCACCCCUGUCCACUUUCUAAUCAGAUUGCUUGGGCGGUUUUCCUUGUUUUUACUGUUAUGCUCUUUGUAUGAUCUGUAGUCCUCUGUUGAAUGGAGGCUUUGCAAAUACUUCCCAGUCUGGAGAUUGUCUUUUCAUCGUCUGGUUACCUGAGGGUGUGUGUGUGUGUGUGUGUGUGUGUGUGUGUGUAUUCAGUGCUGGGGAUGGAACUCAGGUACUCAUGCAUGCUAAGCUUGUGCUCCUACACCCCAGCCCUCUCUAUAUCCUCUAACCAGCAUUUUCACAGAGAAAACAUUCCUAUUUUUGAUGAAGUCCAAUUUUGUCAACUCUUUCUUUUACCAGUUUUCCUUUCGAGCAUUCUAAAAAUGCUCUAUCUAGCUCUAGAUCCUGAAGAUUUUCUUCUAUGUUUUUUUCUAAAAGUUUUAUAUUUUACUUUUUUUUUUUUCUUUUGGUACCGGGCAUUGAACUCGGGACCUUGUGCUUGUGAGGCAGGUGGUGAGGUAAAUCUAAAUCCUGAGCUAAAUCCCCGGCCCUAUACUUUACAUUUUAAUCCAAUCUCUUUAAAGUCAACUUGUGUCUCGGUCAUGAGGUGGAGGUGGAUGGUCAGUUUUUGCCUCCAGAGGUCCAAUUACCCUAGCACCUUUUUUUGAGGUGCUGUCCUUCCUUACUGAGGGGCUUUUAUGACUCUGUACAAAUCAGCUGAGACAUGCAGGGCCUGGACUCUGAUCCCAGUCACUGAAAAUAAGAAGCCAUGUGGGCGUAUUCAUAGAGGUCUAUGUCUGGACUCUCUGCUGUACUCCACUGGCCUGUGUCACCCUCCACCAGUAUCACAGCCUUAAUUAUUC